CGGGGCGUAGCUCAGCUUGGUAGAGCGUUCGGUUCGGGACCGAAAGGUCGCAAGUUCAAAUCUUGUCGCCCCGACCA
rnacentral:tRNA from 1 species